GAAAUAGAACCUGAAACCGUGUGCCUACAACCGCUCAGAGCCCCUUAUGAGGGUGAUGAGGUGCUUUUUGUAGAACGAGCCAACGAGUUACGGUAUGUAGCAAGGUUAAGUACUUAAGGUACGGAGCCGAAGGGAAACCGAGUCUGAAUAGGGCGACUAGUUGCAUGCCGUAGACCCGAAACCGGGUGACCUAUCCAUGGCCAGGUUGAAGCGAGGGUAAAACCUCGUGGAGGACCGAACCACGUUGCUGUUGAAAAAGCAUGGGAUGAGCUGUGGAUAGCGGAGAAAUUCCAAUCGAACCCGGAGAUAGCUGGUUCUCUCCGAAAUAGCUUUAGGGCUAGCGUCGAGUAUGAGUAGUGGAGGUAGAGCACUGAAUGGGCUAGGGGGCAUAGCGCUUACCGAACCUUAUCAAACUCCGAAUGCCACAUACUUUGAGCUCGGCAGUCAGACUACGAAUGAUAAGAUCCGUGGUCAAAAGGGAAACAGCCCAGAUCGUCAGCUAAGGUCCCAAAGUGUAAGUUAAGUGGGAAAGGAUGUGAGAUUUCUAAGACAACUAGGAUGUUGGCUUAGAAGCAGCCAUUCAUUAAAAGAGUGCGUAAUAGCUCACUAGUCGAGAGAUCUUGCGCCGAAAAUGUAACGGGGCUAAACUUACCACCGAAGCUACGGGCUUGAACUUAGUUCAAGCGGUAGGAGAGCGUCGUAACCGGGCUGAAGUCGUACCGUAAGGAGCGGUGGACUGGUUACGAGUGAGAAUGUUGGCAUCAGUAGCGAGAUGUGGGUGAGAAUCCCACAGGCCGAAAACCUAAGGUUUCCUCAGGAAGGUUCGUCCGCUGAGGGUUAGUCGGGACCUAAGCCGAGGCCGAAAGGCGUAGGUGAUGGACAACUGGUUGAUAUUCCAGUACCACUACCAUCGUUAUUAUCGAUGGCGUGACGCAGGAGGAUAGUGUGUGCUAGCUAUUGGAUGCUAGUCUAAGCGUUUAGGCAGUGAGAGUAGGCAAAUCCGCUCUCAUAAUGCUGAGGCGUGAUGGGGAAGGUUC
rnacentral:rRNA from 1 species